rnacentral:rRNA from 1 species
GACGAACGCUGGCGGCAUGCCUAACACAUGCAAGUCGAACGGAGCCAAUCGAAAGAUCCCUUCGGGGUGAAUUUGAGGAAGCUUAGUGGCGGACGGGUGAGUAACGCGUGAGUAACCUGCCUUUCAGAGGGGGAUAACGUUCCGAAAGGAACGCUAAUACCGCAUAACGUAUUUUUACCGCAUGAUAGAAAUACCAAAGAUUAUCGCUGAAAGAUGGACUCGCGUCUGAUUAGCUAGUUGGAGGGGUAACGGCCCACCAAGGCGACGAUCAGUAGCCGAACUGAGAGGUUGAUCGGCCACAUUGGGACUGAGACACGGCCCAGACUCCUACGGGAGGCAGCAGUGGGGGAUAUUGGUCAAUGGGCGCGAGCCUGAACCAGCCAAGUAGCGUGAAGGAUGACUGCCCUACGGGUUGUAAACUUCUUUUGUUGGGAAUAAAAGACGCUACGUGUAGCGUUCUGCAUGUACCUUACGAAUAAGCAUCGGCUAAUUCCGUGCCAGCAGCCG